ACAGCCUCCACCACCAGCUCCAGUUAACUUAGUAGACAGUUUGUACUUUAGAGUUGUUCGAAGAACAGUUUCUAUGGAAGCAUGGCUAACACCCAUGCACUGAAGCAAUCCUUGGUUCAUCGCCAUCAACUCUGCCAGUUUUUCUUCUUUCUCAGUUAUGGCAAGAUCAUCAGGGACAGGUGAUUGAAUAAUUGCAGCCACUUCAUUACUGAUAGAAUCCACCGCAGUAAACACAGAAGCCAUUGCAGUCGGAUGCCGCAAGGUCCUCUCAGAGACGCUAGCCACCAAUGCCUUUGUAUUUCUCCCAACCUUUGUGUUAGUGAUCAGCAUUUUAAGUGGCAUGUUUGUUUUGAGGCGUGUCAAAUCACCUGACUUAAACUUGAUCAUAUUUCCAUAUGUGCUCACUGUGUUGUCAAUACCAGAUGGCUUCCCAUGAAUUAUUUUCUCGCCUUCGAAAGCCCAUUUAUUCACCAAUUCCAGCUGAUUCUCUCCAAAAACUUGCCAACCUUGGUGGCUGAAAUCCAUAGUGACUGAAUCUGACAAUGCAAGAAUGGCUGCGGAGAGUGCAA
rnacentral:misc_RNA from 1 species